GUUGUCAUCAUCGUUGUUGUAAAUUAUUAUAUGAUGCGAAGCUUUGCCAAAGAAGAAAUCUUUUGUAAAAGGAGAAAUAAUAAAAGUGAUCAUCGAGAAAGGCGAUGGAUGAAGUUGGAAGAAGAAAAAGAAUAAGAAAAUAGGAUCUUAUUCUUUUUGUGUAAUUAUAUUCCCUCCAGAAGGUGUGUGCUUUCUAAAUCAUCCUAAAAAAAAAAAA